AUGAACGCCUUCCGGUUCCUGGGGGACAUGACCCACCUCUUCUCGGUCAUCGUCCUCCUCCUCAAGAUCUACGCCAACAAGUCAUGCUCAGGGGUGUCGAGGAAGACGCAGGAGCUGUACCUGGCGGUGUUCGUGGCGCGCUACCUCGACCUCUUCACCGACUACAUCUCGCUCUACAACUCCGUCAUGAAGAUCGUCUUCAUCACCACCUCCGCCGCCAUCGUCUGGUACAUGCGCCGCCACCCGCAGGUGCGCCGCACCUACGACCGGGACCAGGACACCUUCCGCCACCUCUUCCUCGUCGCCGCCGCCUUCGCGCUCGCCCUCAUCUUCAACGAGCGCUUCACCCUCCGCGAGAUAUGCUGGGCAUUUUCGAUUUACCUGGAGGCAGUGGCGAUUCUACCUCAGUUAGUCCUACUCCAGAGAAGCAGAAAUGUCGAUAACUUGACUGGACAAUAUGUUCUCUUUCUCGGGGCCUACCGUGCAUUCUACAUUCUAAACUGGAUUUACCGUUAUUUCACGGAGGGUCACCAAAGCAGAUGGAUCCCCUGGAUUGCUGGUUUGGUCCAAACUGGUCUAUACGCAGAUUUCUUCUACUACUAUUUCUUGAGUUGGAAGAACAACGUGAAGCUCGAGCUGCCUGCCUGA
rnacentral:rRNA from 1 species